UAGGACGUUGGCUUAUCGGUUUGAGCACAAGACUUUUAAUCUUGGGAGACAGGUUCGACUCCUGUACGUCCUACCAG
rnacentral:tRNA from 1 species